rnacentral:ncRNA from 1 species
GACCGUUGAAAUUAGGGCUAUGUAAGAUAGUGCUAGUGGAGGUCUUCGUAGGGUUUUAUGUUGACCUGUUCUUACUAGGUGAAAACCGAACAAAAAACAUAAGUU